UGAAUAUCUCUAAACUACACAUUUUUUCAUAGCUUGUGAGCAGCUUAAUUGCAUCACCUUUCUCAUUUCCUAACAGAUUGGUUAAAUAAGAAGCAUGAUCAGCUUCAGUAUUCUUAUUGCAUGAGCGAAAAUUGUUAGUUUAUUCACUCAACUUAUUUUUCCAUUAUCAUAUAAAUUAGAGGAAUAGUUAAUUAUGCCAAUACUGUUUAUCAAUUUGAGUCACCCUAAGCCUUCUCAUGUCCUGUAAUGCGAGAAGAUGAUGACACCUAGAAAAAGGUUACAGUGGGCCAUGGUCAUAGUAUAAACUAUAAAGACAUAUCAUACUUCCAUUUUGAAAUUUCCACAACUUCCAGACAGGCCUGAUUGAGAACAAGAGUGGGUUUUACAUGUGCUGCAGGAGAGGUAGGAAUAUAUGUGUAGCUGCUGUAGUUCUUUGAAACUUGUUGUUAGCAUGUGCAUGAUGAUAAAAUUUUAACUUGUAAUUAGUUUUAUUUUUCUGUUUUAUUAUCUGAUGAACUGUUACAUUUAAUGGCGAUAUACUUGUGAAUAUGUGUUGAACCAAGAAUUAGUUUAUCAGUAUAUAGUCUUUCAACCUGUACUAAAUGCAUGCUUACCAGCUACCAGUGAAUUGGGAGUUCUGACAUCUCCUUGAAGGACAUUGUUGAGCAGGUAAGACUCUGAUGAUUGGUAUGCGCGGUGCUUCUCAGGUCUAUUGACUAAGAAAUUUAUCGCUUUGAUAAAGCAUGCAAAGGAUGGUGAACUUGAUCUAAACAAGCUGGCUGACACUUUGCAGUUGUAUAUUUCUCAACCCCAACCGGACUCAGCUUUAGGAGGUACUCUUCACUCUGCCGUCGCGAGCAGAUUAACAUUUAUAUAGUUGAAGGACAAGAUACAAGAUUAUAGAGCUUAUAGAGAGGUGCUGGUUUUAGAAGGCAACGGAAGCCCUAGUUUUUUUUUUUUAGUUGGGCUCAAAACAUUAUGUAUGAAUGUUUUGUGAUAUAUAUAAUAUAUGUUAUUGAUGGUUUUAUCAUUUUGUUGUUUUAA